AGUAAACGCUGGCGGUAGGCCUAACACAUGCAAGUCGAACGGCAGCACCGUAAGAGCUUGCUCUUACGGGUGGCGAGUGGCGGACGUGUGAGGAAUACAUCGGAAUCUACUUUUUCGGGGGGGAUAACGUAGGUAAACUUACGCUAAUACCGCAUACGACCUACGGGUGAAAGCAGGGGAUCUUCGGACCUUGCGCGAUUGAAUGAGCCGCUGUCGGAUUAGCUAGUUGGCGGGGUAAAGGCCCACCAAGUCGACGAUCCGUAGCUGGUCUGAGAGGAUGAUCAGCCACACUGGAACUGAAACACGGUCAAGACUCCUACGGGAGGCAGCAGUGGGGAAUAUUGGACAAUGGGCGCAAGCCUGAUCCAGCCAUACCGCGUGGGUGAAGAAGGCCUUCGGGUUGUAAAGCCCUUUUGUUGGGAAAGAAAAGCAGCAGGUUAAUACCCCGCUGUUCUGACGGUACCCAAAGAAUAAGCACCGGCUAACUUCGUG
rnacentral:rRNA from 1 species